rnacentral:rRNA from 1 species
AGUGAACGCUGGCGGCAGGCCUAACACAUGCAAGUCGAACGGCAGCACAAGAGAGCUUGCUCUCUGGGUGGCGAGUGGCGGACGGGUGCGGAAUGCAUCGGAAUCUGCCCAUUUGUGGGGGAUAACCUCGGGAAACCGGGACUAAUACCGCAUACGACCUACGGGUGAAAGCAGGGGAUCUUCGGACCUUGCGCAGAUGGAUGAGCCGAUGCCGGAUUAGCUAGUUGGAGGGGUAAAGGCCCACCAAGGCGACGAUCCGUAGCUGGUCUGAGAGGAUGAUCAGCCACACUGGGACUGAGACACGGCCCAGACUCCUACGGGAGGCAGCAGUGGGGAAUAUUGGACAAUGGGCGCAAGCCUGAUCCAGCCAUGCCGCGUGUGUGAAGAAGGCCUUCGGGUUGUAAAGCACUUUUGUUGGGAAAGAAAAGCAGCCGGUUAAUACCCGGUUGUCAUGACGGUACCCAAAGAAUAAGCACCGGCUAACUUCGUG